UGGUUUUAACAUGGAUUAUUCGGGAUACAUCUUUGAAAAUUUCCUGUCUAGACCACAACUUUUCACCCUUUUUCCACUUAUAUUCACGUAUGACUAAAUUUCAUCUGUGCAACAUGUACUUAGUGUCUGCAUAACAUGACCCUUAAACAAAAGACUAUGAACAUGCUAGGUGAGUUUAAAAUCCUCCUUCUCUGUUCACAGGUCAUGUUCAGGAUACUAUUACGGGAAGGUCUACAUAACCGGUUGGCACUUUAUGGACUUCCCCAUGCCUCAGGUUGGAGACUUUGAGUUGGUGGUGUGCGGCCGAUACGAAGGAGGGGAUGGCCCAAUCAGGAAGAUUCAGAUUAAGGGUACAGCAUCCACGCUGACGCCCGCUCUCAGCCUGGUGUCGUUGGCGCUGCUGGCGCUGUGCACCGUGGGAUUGGAAAUGUAGCCCGGCCCAAUGUGGGUAGCAGAACCAGUCAUAGAUUGAAAUCCUGUUGGAUUGGCUCAUCACGAGUUUAGCCACUUAUUAACCCCUCCCACAUUAUACCUCUGUAGUACAUUGUUCUAAUGUAACUAUACACAGAAAAUGGUUCAUUUACAGACACAUAGAGCUCUAAAUGUAUCAGGAUUUGUCCUGGGAAAGUGAAUUAAAAGAUCGAUUCUUGAUUAA